rnacentral:lncRNA from 1 species
CUACACUAAGAUGUCGUCUGUUGACUCAGAUUCCUUCCCGUUCGGUGACUUGGUUAUUUCUGAGCCCAGGAAGCUUUGGUGGGACCGGAAGCCCAAGGCUGGAUAUCUCAUUCUGAGAUCUGGCUGUUACUGGGGUCUGGCAUAGGCUCUGUUCUCACGGUGGGCGCUGUCUUCUGUCUUUCUAUCGUUCUGGUCUCUGAGCACUCUCCUCCCUCUAUCUUGUUCUUCAAGGCCGUUUUCCCUCCUCACCCUUUCUCCCUCUGCAUAUCUGCAUCAUCUCCUCAGUGAGCCGGGCUGUUAUCAAGGACAGGAAGACCUGUUAUCAUCAAGCAACAUCUGCUUCCUGACCUGAAAGAAUUCCUAAGGGAAGGAAAAACAAAAAGCCGCACUAGAGGUACCUGCUUGGAAAGGGAAGGCAGUGGAAAAACACAGGCAAACAAAUUAAUGUCUCAAUAUCGUUGCCACAGGUAACUCGAGUGGCUAGGGAGAGCCCAGCCUGAUGCAAAGGCUGGCUUCCCGCUGAGUGGCAGAGAACGUGAUGGAGAAAGGAUGGGGAAGUGUGUGGGGGACGUUCCUGUGAACUUGCUAAGAGCCUGAGGACGCGGCCGCUGCUUUCCUGUCUCCUGUCCUGGGGUGUCCUUCAAAACGCAUUUCCAUUCCCAUAGCAUGCUCCUGCUCCGCUCCCUUGUGAUCACAUGGAAAUGAAACUUCAGAUCCAGAAUGAAGUGACCUCCUCUCGGCCUUCCAGAGCCUGGAUUCCUACAGAGCCGACCCCACAGCACCCGUGGUUGGGACAGAAGGGGACUCCGGAGCCCGGGCCUUCUCUGCCUGAGCCGCAGGAGGCUGCGUCUGUGCCUCAGAGGCCUGCGUCCUUAGGCAGAUUCCCUGGCACUGUGCCUCUCUCUCUGCGCAGAGUGAACUCACAAUUAAGUAUCCGCUCCCAUAACAGAACCCCUUCCCGGUUAGUCAGGACUGUGGGUUUUCUGAACCCACCUUCCCCAGCUGAUUUGAAUUCAAGUUGAAAAAUCUGACCCUCACAAACAGGUUUUUAAAACUUGUUCCCAGGUUUGGCUGGGGAAAUCUGCUUAAAGUCCCAGAAAAAACAAACAAAACAAAACAAAGCACAAUGGCUAUUUUAUUUUUAUUAAGUUGAGCCCGGAGUGGGUAUCAGGACCUGCUGGGUGGCAGGACACAGGGGCGAGUGGGA